UACAGAGGUCUCAAGCGUUGUUCGGAUUCAUUGGGCGUAAAGGGUGUGUAGGUGGCGCGCUAAGUCGGGUGUGAAAUUUCGGAGCUUAACUCCGAAACUGCAUUCGAUACUGGCGUGCUUGAGGACUGGAGAGGAGACUGGAAUUUACGGUGUAGCAGUGAAAUGCGUAGAUAUCGUAAGGAAGACCAGUGGCGAAGGCGGGUCUCUGGACAGUUCCUGACACUGAGACACGAAGGUCAGGGGAGCAAACGGG
rnacentral:rRNA from 1 species